AUAGGUAGAGGUGCGUACUGCUAUCAGUAACCGUAGUGCUUAAGGCUCGCAAAGCCGCUGCGGCAAAAGGAGCAUACGCCGAAGUUGGAGCCGAUGCGUAUGGCUCUGGCUGGUUUUACGGAACAAUAUCCGUACGACUGUCGUCCUUCAGGACGGAGUGCUAUCC
rnacentral:ncRNA from 1 species